rnacentral:lncRNA from 1 species
GUGGAAUAAUACAAGGUGUUGGAUAUUGACAGCGUUCUCGCUCUAAUCCGCCAUCUUGGCUCCCUUAGCUAUAUCAGUGUUUCCCUCUUGAAAAAACUACAUUUUAUCGCCUUUAAAAAAGUACUAAACUACCUCAUUCCCUAUUCCAAAACCGAUUUGCAAUCACUGAACAAUUCUUUGACAUUUACUCUAUUCUUAUCGUUGGCAACUGAAAAUUAAAUUAGAAAUUUCAACAUUAAUUCGGCAAAAAAACAUCGGUUUAGAGUUCUCCCCAAGGAUUUGUAGUUAUUUUGGUCGGUGCUUCCUUCCGCUGCAAUUCCGUCUGUGGUUCACUGCCACUGGCCUUGCUUUUUCAACGAUAUAACUGUUUUCUUGUGAUUUUUGCUGCUGCAAUCCCGUCUGUGGUUCACUGCCUCUGGCCCUGCUUUUCCAACGAUAUAACUGUUUUUUUGGUAACUUCUACCGCUAAGACUUUGUUGCUUUUUCCCUUUUCCCUAAAAACAUAAUAGUGCUACAAAGCUCAAUAACAAUAUGGAAACAAAUGUUAAUAAGCCACAAUAAUAUUGACAAUAAAUAAGAUUUCACUACGA